rnacentral:rRNA from 1 species
UGAACGCUGGCGGCGUGCCUAAUACAUGCAAGUAGAACGCUGAAGGAAGGAGCUUGCUCUUUCCGGAUGAGUUGCGAACGGGUGAGUAACGCGUAGGUAACCUGCCUGGUAGCGGGGGAUAACUAUUGGAAACGAUAGCUAAUACCGCAUAACAGUAGAUAUUGCAUGAUAUCUGCUUGAAAGGGGCAAUUGCUCCACUACCAGAUGGACCUGCGUUGUAUUAGCUAGUUGGUGAGGUAACGGCUCACCAAGGCGACGAUACAUAGCCGACCUGAGAGGGUGAUCGGCCACACUGGGACUGAGACACGGCCCAGACUCCUACGGGAGGCAGCAGUAGGGAAUCUUCGGCAAUGGACGGAAGUCUGACCGAGCAACGCCGCGUGAGUGAAGAAGGUUUUCGGAUCGUAAAGCUCUGUUGUAAGAGAAGAACGAGUGUGAGAGUGGAAAGUUCACACUGUGACGGUAUCUUACCAGAAAGGGACGGCUAACUAC